rnacentral:misc_RNA from 1 species
UUUCGGUAUCCUGUGUUGCUUACCGACGAAACGGAAUUCGAUCGUAUCGUUGCCAUUUUCCGCCCACGCCCUCGAGGGGGUGCGGGGUGGACGACAGGCGCGCUGCGCGUUCCUCGCACGCCUCGCAUCGUUGCGGGGCUGUUGAGGCCCGCGGAGCUGUUGCCCGCUCUCUCGGAUGCGGAACGUCGUGCGCGGGUGCGGGGUCUCGACCCCGCUCGCCCGAGCCUUGCGUUUGUCCCUUGACGCGAACGACCGCCGCGGCCGUCUUGAUCCCGUCGCGGCCCGCGUGGCGGACGGGACUCAUGCGGUCGUCGGCGUCGUCGAGGAAUGCUACCUGGUUGAUCCUGCCAGUAGUCAUAUGCUUAGUCUCA